rnacentral:rRNA from 1 species
UACGGGGGGGGGCGAGCGUUGUCCGAAGUUACUGGGCGUAAAGCGCGUGUAGGCGGGUUGUUAAGUCCGCUGUGAAAGCCCGGUGCUCAACGCCGGAGGGUCGGUGGAUACUGGCAGUCUUGAAGUGGCUAGGGGGAAAUGGAAUUACCGGUGUAGCGGUAGAAAUGCGUAGAUAUCGGUAGGAACACCCAGUGGCGAAGGCGGUUUCCUGGAGCUAACUUGACGCUGAGACGCGAAAGCUGGGGGAGCAAACGGG